UGAAGUAAACUCGCGGGUGUCUCACAGGAUU
rnacentral:piRNA from 1 species